UGCAAGUCGAGCGGAGACAGUGAGUAGCUUGCUACGAGCUGUUUUAGCGGCGGACGGGUGAGUAACGCGUGAGCAACCUUUCCCAGACAGGGGAAUAACACACCGAAAGGUGUACUAAUACCGCAUAAGACCACGGGAUCACAUGGUUCUGGGGUAAAAGAUUUAUCGGUUUGGGGUGGGCUCGCGUCCGAUUAGGUAGUUGGUGAGGUAACGGCCCACCAAGCCGACGAUCGGUAGCCGACCUGAGAGGGUGAUCGGCCACAUUGGGACUGAGACACGGCCCAAACUCCUACGGGAGGCAGCAGUGGGGAAUAUUGGGCAAUGGAGGAAACUCUGACCCAGCAACGCCGCGUGGAGGAAGAAGGUUUUCGGAUCGUAAACUCCUGUCCUUGGAGACGAGUAGAAGACGGUAUCCAAGGAGGAAGCCCCGGCUAACUACG
rnacentral:rRNA from 1 species